rnacentral:lncRNA from 1 species
AAUUCUUUCUUGCCAGCACACGCUUCUCUGAGCUCUUGAUGUGGUGGGUCUGCUCAUUCUUUAUCAAAGAUCCCACUGGACUGCAUCUUGUUGGAUGAAUUUUGUGAAUAGUGACGCCGAAAUAAGUAUAAUGAUGGUGAUAAAACCGAGGCAAGAGUUGGACUCUUUGUCCUUAAGUCGAAUUUGCCCCGCAACGGUGCCUACGGAUUUCGGCAAUCGACUCCCAAGAUACAACGGCUACACUUGUGUUUGUAGCACUCCAAAACACAAGUACAACGAACCAAAUGUAGGCUUAUGUACUCCACAGAUGAAAUGAAAGAAAAUCAAAAUAAAUGAAAUGAUUUUGAUUUUGGAUAGAAGAGAGGAUGAGAGACGUUUUUGCAUAUCAAACUGUGAGGAAUAGGACACCCAAAGGGUCCUAUUUAUAGACCAUGAAGGGGUGUGGACGAAAUGGUUGAGACCAAACCAUGCUCCCUUUCCAAACAGUGCACCUUUAUGAAAAGGUGUCUAUUCACUAAUGGUUGAGGCCUUUUUCGUAAUUUCUCAUUCAUCCGAUAUUGAUUUUCGAAAUGCCAAAUAUACCCUUCAAUACAUGCAGAGAAAUCAAAAUUCUCUUUCGGGGGCGUUGCCCCCGACCCACACGAGGGGCGCUGCCCCCUCGACCCUCGCGACCUGACCGGGCAGGUCGAUCCCCGUUUGUGCUCCCCGAAGCGGCGAAGUGGCAAAUAAUUUUGCCUAAACGGAUUGAGUCGAGUUUUUGAGUAUUUAGUCGAAUUCGAUACGAACUUUAAUCGAUUUUCAAUUCUCAAUUUAUUUAACCAAUAUCCAACACAUCUUUCUCUGCAGAAGGGUCAAGGCUUGGUCCAGGUUGUUGUUCCUCACUUUCACUCGGAUGCCACGCCACUGCUGCAGCUCCCAAUUUACCGAGCCUAGAGCCGCACUUGGACGGGUAAAAAGGAUCCCUGCUCGCUUCGCUAACGAAUUCAUUGUUCAGUGGGUUUGUUAUUCCUAUUCAAAUUGUGUCCAAGGGUUUAUGUUUGAAAUGGAAACUUCUUUAGGAAAUUGAUUUUAUCCAAAAUAAGUUUCUGCUAAUUCAAAUUAUGAAAAUGAGAUAUAUUUUAUAAAUCGGUAUGAAUAAGAAAAAUCUAUUUUAAGUAAUGACUACGACCAACACCACUUAUCUCUAAUACAAAUAAGAAGGAAAACUGAGAAGCACAUAAUACAAGUCUUCAAUUCUUCUCUGCAUAGAAAGGGUUUGUCGAAUCAAAAUUCAGAGGGAAAAAAAAAGUUCUGUAGAUUAUUCAUCACAUUGUUCUACUACUGUUAAAAAAUUCAGGUAACUUUUUUACGCAAUUAGAAGUAUAACUUCAGUGAGUAUCCACUUCUCUAUGGAAAAUCUUCAAACUACCCUGUGCAAAACUGGAUAUUUUCUACAUUAAAGAGAAAUCGGGUGAAACAGAUACGUUAUAUAUAAAAAUCUCGAAAGAAUACCAGGUGCUGAUUUGUAGAUGAAAAUAGCGAUCUCACCAGAGAUGGAGAAAGAGAGAUGCACCGAUAAUAGGCCGAUUACAAGAAGGAAAUACACAGAAAUUAUUGGAAUAACAUUGGC